rnacentral:rRNA from 1 species
AGCAGCCGCGGUAAUUCCAGCUCCAAUAGCGUAUAUUAAAGUUGUUGCAGUUAAAAAGCUCGUAGUUGAAUUUCGGGAUUAGUACGCUGGUCGUGCCUUCGGUACGUACUGGUGUUACUGAUUCCUACCUUCUGACGAACCACCAUGUCAUUAGUUUGGUGUGGUGGGGAAUCAGGACUGUUACUUUGAAAAAAUUAGAGUGUUUAAAGCAGGCUCGCGCUUGAAUACAUUAGCAUGGAAUAAUGAAAUAGGACGUUGAUCCUAUUUUGUUGGUUUCUAGGAUUGACGUAAUGAUUAAUAGGGAUAGUUGGGGGCAUUAGUAUUCAAUUGUCAGAGGUGAAAUUCUUGGAUUUAUUGAAGACUAACUACUGCGAAAGCAUUUGCCAAGGAUGUUUUCAUUAAUCAAGAACGAAAGUUAGGGGAUCGAAGACGAUCAGAUACCGUCGUAGUCUUAACCAUAAACUAUGCCGACUAGGGAUCGGAUGAUGUUAUUUUUAAUGUACUCAUUCGGCGCCUUACG